CAUGCCAUUAUCUGUCACAAACCUCCUGAAUGAACGCAACCGACUGGGGGCCAGUGGAGAGCUGGACAAUGCAACUCGGCGGUGUUUCAAUCAUGCCAUGCAGCUCCUGAAUGUCCAGUCCAACAGAAUACAGGACAAUACCACGCUGGUGCUUGACUAUGGCAUGGUCUCUGAAAAGAGUCAUCUACAUUGUUUGAGUGAAAUUAAGCAUGCGCAUUAUACAGAACGGAGAAGGUUCUAGAAGAUCAUGAACGCCUCACCUUUAUGAGGGAGUUGUGUGCAGAGAGAGGAGUCUCCGUUGUUGUAGUCUCUGUGAAGGGAGUGGUCCAGCAGAGCGGUCUCUGUGACUGAAGCUUGUUUGUCAUGGGCAUUCAGCUUUUCAUCUUCCCUUGGUCCAUCAUCAUCAGUUAUUGUGGUCAUCUGUCCCUAGAUCCCUAACUAGGCCGGAGUAAUUGAAGAACACACUUACCUGAGACAGAGGAGCGCCAAGGAAUUGGGUAAAGUAUCACCUUCCCAUGUGUAAGUGUGGGACAAGCUUGGGUGUUGCUAGUUGUGGGAGAAGUCCUGGGAGCAGUAGGGGUGUCUGUGUGGUUAUGUUGGGAGGUGAAAAUCUGUUCUUGCACAUAUUUGCAUAUAAAUGCUAUUAUCUGUGUAUAACCUUGCUAAUAGUUGUACUAAAUGUUGAACCAUUUGUAUGCUGUUCUGUGCUGAUGUGUUUGAUAUUUGGUGUGAUACCAUAUAGGUGUGUUAUACUUACCAUUUGAGUCUUUUGUUUUUCCGCUCUUUUUCCCAAAACCUAUAUAUAAGGUUUGCUGGACACCCCACCUUUGUCAUAAAUUUGUCAAACUUCAAUAGCAACACUUGUAAGUUAUCCAGCCACCCUCUUCUUAUCUGGCAGAGAUGUAGUUAUUUGGGUCCCACAUUAAUUAAAAUCUCUCUGUUCUCCAUAUUUGGUUUAACCAGUCAACCAGUCAUCAUAUUAAUUGGCCUCAAACUCUGCCAGCCGGUAAGUGAAAAACUACAG